rnacentral:rRNA from 1 species
UACGUAGGGGGGCGAGCGUUGUCCGGAGUUACUGGGCGUAAAGGGCGUGCAGGCGGUGCGGUAAGUUUAGCGUGACAGUCUCCGGCUUAACUGGAGAAGGCCGCUGAAAACUGCUGGACUUGAGGGCCAGAGAGGGACACAGAAUUCCGGGUGGAGUGGUGAAAUGCGUAGAUAUCCGGAGGAAUACCAAAGGCGAAGGCAGUGUCCUGGCUGGCAACUGACGCUGAGGCGCGAAAGCUAGGGGAGCGAACAGG